rnacentral:tRNA from 1 species
GGUCUUAUAGUCAAAUUUUAUAUGAUAUUAAAUUGCAAAUUUAAAGGUGGAAUAUUUCUAAGGCUU